AGCUGAGACUCGAGAUUGGAUGCAAGAUUGCUUUGCCGUGCAUCACGCUUUAAUGGCUACGCUGUGUGGGCAGCCUGCCUUCUUGAAGGAUCUGCAGAGGAGGACCAUAAAAAGAACCUGUAUAGUGACACCUCUGAUGAAGACGGGUGGAUUACCGUAGAAACAUGUCAGAAUCUGGGUCCUGACUCCAUCUCCGUCACAGAGCCCCGAUCAUCAAAGUGUCUGCAGAAGAGUCCACCAAACCCAACACUGGAUCAGAUCAGUUUGCUGCUCAUGUGGAUCUUCCACACUCUACCAGGUCUCUGAUGGUGUAAAUUAAUAAAAAUAAAUAAAAAAAAAGGGCCAAAAUGUUGUUUUCUGUUGUUUUUUUGUUUUUUUGUUUGUUGUUUUUUUGUGUGUCAUUACAGCGGGAGCAUGCAAACAUCAAGCCACCAAGCAACUCAAAAUAAGACUGAAUUCCAGCCAAAUGUUGUGGUGGAUUUUGGAGACACUCCAGCCCUCGUUUAGCUGUGUUGCUCAUUCCACAGGAACACCAUCCUUACAGGUUUUACCACAUUACAAAGGUGAGCAGGACUUUGCAUCAAUGUUGCGGUUGGUCACAACAUCCCUGUGCCUCCGGUGUCAACAUGUCACAGCUUUGCCUUUUAAACUUAGGCCACAUGCAACGCUGAGCUCUAUAGAGAACCAGCAGACUGUGGAGGCUCUUUAUGAUCUCUCUGUGGACCUCCAGAAGGUUCGAAAACUUAAGGGCUGGGUGUUGCGUCAGAGUCCAGCCUACACUAAGGAGGUAGCUGGCUUGCUAAAAGACAUGGGGGCCACGGGCCCCAUCAUUGCUCACAUUUUAGCUAUUCACCCUGAGGCUGUUCUGUGUGAUCCGGAGCACAUUCAGACUCAGAGGGACUUGUGGAUGUCUGUGUGUCCAAGCCAGAAAGAGUUAGUUGGUAUCAUUGAGAAAUUUCCAGCCUCUUUCUUCACCUCCUCCAGCCACCAUGACAACCAGCGGAAUAACAUCGCUUACUUCCAGAGCCUCAACCUCAACAAGCGAAUCAUCACCAAACUUAUGGCCACUGCUCCACAGAGCUUUAGCCGGCCAGUAGAGCAGAACCAGAUGAUGGUCCACACCCUCCGGCAGACCUAUCAGGAGCUCGGUGGGGAGGAGGCCAACAUGAAAAUCUGGCUUCAGAAGCUGCUGAGUCAGAACCCAUUUGUUCUUCUCAAGCCCCCCGAGGUACUGAGGCAGAACUUGAUGUUCCUGAGAGACAGGGGCUUCAGUACCGUAGAACUGCUGCAACUACUCACCAAACUCAGGGGCGUUGUCACUGAGCUGAACCCGGAAAGCAUGCAUCGCUCGCUGGCAUUCUCCCAGAACACCAUCAGCUGUUCUGAGGCAGUGCUGCGGGGCAUCAUCCUCAAGUGUCCGGCUCUGCUGUACUUCCCUGAAUCUACUCUUGGGGAGCGCUUUGAGGGCCUUAUCCGUGCUGGGAUCAGUAUGUCUCAAAUCACAGAGACUCCAACUGUCCUGGAGCUGACAACGCAGAUAGUUCAUUAUCGCAUCCAGCGACUGAAGGCACGUGGUUAUGACAUAAGGACAGGCAGUCUGGAUGUCCUAAAUGGCACCAAGAAGGACUUUGAAAUGAGCUUUGGGAGACUGCAACUGCGUAGACAGAGACCACUUUUUAACCCUGUUGCUCCUUUAAAAGUAGAUGACUGAAAGAGGUUGUUAGACUAAUGAAAGCAUGAAUUGAAACUGUAGCUGGAUUCACAUUGAUUUUGUGGUUGUAUUUAAGUAAAAAGAUGAAACUCAAAUUAGAAUAUUGCAUAAAGCUUACUUUUUUUCAGUAAUUCAACUUAAAAGGGGAAACUUGACAUAUUAUAUUGACUCAUUACAUGCAGAGUGAAAUAUUACAAGCAUUUAUUCAUUAUAAUUUGGAUGAUUAUGGCUUACAGCUGAUGAAAAUCCAAAAGAAUCUAAAUCUCAGAAAAUUAGAAUAUUACAUGAAAUUAAUCAAGAAAAUGAUUUUGAAUACAGAAAUGUUGAGCAUCUGUUAUAUGAACUCAGUACUUGGUCUGAGCCCCUCUUGCAUGGAUUCCUGCCUCCAUGCGGCCUUUUCGGCAUUGCUCGGUCUCAUGUGUCUCAUCUUUCUCUUGGCAAUGCUCCAGAGAUUUUCUACGGGGUUCAGGUCAGGAGAGUCUGCUGGCCAGUCCAGCCCAGUAAUCCCUUGGUCACUGAACCAGGUUUUGGUUCUUUGGUAGAGUGGGCACGUGCCAAGUCCUGCUGGAAAAUAAAGUCAGCAUGAAGUGCUCUAACAUCUCCUGGUAGACAGCUGUGUUGACUCUGGACUUAAUAAAGCCCAGUGGACCAACACUAGCAGGUGACAUGGCUCCCACAUCGACACACACUGUGGAGACUUCAUGCUGGACUUUAUGUGUCUUGGAUUGUUUCCUCUCCAUCCUUCCUCCAGACUCUGGGACCUGGAUUUCCAAAUGAGAUGCAGAAUUUGUUCUCAUCAGAAAAGAGUCCUUUGGACCACUGUUCAACAGACCAGUUCAUUUUUUCUUUAGUCCAGGUAAGACGCUUCUGACGUGUUGUGUUCUGGAGUGGCUGGACAAGAGGAAUACGACAUGUGAAGUCCAGGUCCAGGAUCUGUCUGUGUGUGGUGGCUCUGGUAGCACUAACUCCAGCUUCAGUCCACUUCUUGUGAAGCUCUCCCACAUUUCAAAUGGCUUUUUCCAGACCAUCCUCUCCAGGCUGUUUAUCCCUGCUGGUUGUUCCACCUUUUUCUUCCACAGGCUUUCCCUCCUUGUGGAGGGAGUCCUUGAUGGUUUGCUGCACAACUUUCAGGUCAGCAACCUUCCUCAUGGUUAUGAAUUCUACUGAAAUAGACUGAGAGACCAUUUAAAUGCUCAGGAGUCCUUUGCAAAUGUUUUGGAUUAAUUAACUGUUUAGAGUGCGGCACUUAGAGGCUAUAACAUUCACAUUAUUCUAAUAUUCUGAGAUUAUAAUUUUUGGGUUUUCAUAAGCUGUAAGCCAUAAUCGUCCAAAUUAUAUCAAUGAAAUGCUUGAAAUAUCUCACUUUGUAAUGUAAUGAGUCUAUAUAAAAUGUUAGUUUACCUUUAUAAAUUGAAUUACUAAAGUAAGUUAAGUUUUGUGCGAUAUUCUAAUUUUUAGAGUUUUAAGUUUUAUCUAAGUGUCUUAAAUCUUAAGGUGCAUUAUUAUCCUGUAAUUUAUAUAUAUAUAUUUCUCUUAGGUUUUCUCUGGACAAACAAUAAUGGUGAAAGAUGGAACAUACCCAUGUAUCUUUUCCUAAGGACGCUUUAAAGUUAAAAUAGUAAAUUUUCCCUAAAGUGACAUGGAAUUGUUGAAAAAGCUGAGACUUCUGAUUCUGUUUAUUCCUCGUGUUUUUAUGGGUUCAAACGGGUAAAGAUGCAACAAAGAACAAUUUGUCAUCUUUCCUCCUUUUAAAGAAGUCAGAUCUCACUUUAAAGCUGCUAUCUGUCAGGUCUUUUUUUUUCUAGUGCAUGUUUUACUUAUCCAUCCACCCAUCCAUCCACCCACCCAUCCAUGUUCUCUACCGCUUAUUCCACUCCAGGGUCACCAGGAAGCUGUAGCCUAUCCCAGCAAUUAGCAGGCAAGACGCAGGUACACCUGGACAGGUUGCCAGUCCAUCGCAGGGCCAACACAAAGAGACAAACAACCACUCUUUCUCCUAUGGGAAAAUCUACAGUGGGUCCAUUUCUCAUGCACACACACUCCACACGUGAAGGUCCGGUUGAAACCCUACCCCAGCCAAGGCCCAAACCAGGGAUCGUCUUGCUGUGAGGCAGCAGUGCUAACCACCACACCACCGUGCAUCCCUUGUUUGACCUAUUUAAGUUUUCAUUUAACAAACAGCCGCAAAAAAAAGAAAAAUAGUUCAAUGUAAAAUGUAAAGCCUCAUCCAUCGCACUCUGUUUAAACUGCUUCAUCCUGCUAUGCCUUGCUCCUCUGCAGGCUGCUUUACAACCCAGCUCAUCCUUCUCAAACUGUUUUCUAACUUGAUCAAUAGCAUGUCUGUCAUUCAGGCCUCUUCUCUGUACUUUGUGGCUCUUUGUUUCUGCUCUCCCUGCCUCAUACUUUCCACAUUUGGAUGUGGAGUAUGGGGAGGCCCCAGAGCAGAGUCAUGCUUAACUAGAAGAAAUUGCUCCUAUAAUUCCAGACAAUUAUACCGAUCAUUUUGACUUAAGUGGUCCUGGCUCAACAUUCAGUUUAUCCUCAGUGGAGUCUGAUGGCACCAUACAUUAAAAGCAGUGCACUUUUAUUGCAACAGUAAAUUCAUAUUGGAAGAGAUAAAGAUGGAAAUGUAAUGACUUCCUUAGAUUUAUAUCAGAAAGUCAAAUGCAGUGAUGUCUUAAUGCCUGACAGUUUUGGGAAGAGAUGCUCUUGUUGCCAAAUAGAAAAAGAAAAUAUUGCUGCUCAUUUACAAGUUGCCUCAUUACAGUAACAUAAAGCUCUGCUUGACAUAAUGGCAUAAUGACAAGCAUGCAUCGAAUGGGUUAUUGACUAUAACUAAGAACAAACAAGGCUUUUUAACCCAUUUUAUUUACAGCCAGGGUCUCAUUUUCUCACAAUGUUCUUUGGCAGCACAACUGUUCCCCUCAGGGAGGAAAAUAGUUCAGAGUUUUAUUGUUACUCCACAGAUGGAGACACUUUAUUAUAAGCUAUAUUUCACAACUAAAAUGUCACUUCAUUAUCACUUAGAAUGACUCAGACAUGAUAAAUAAGAAAGAAGAAAGCAAACGGGUGCUCUUUUUGGCUCACAGGUGGCUUUUUUUAAACUUUUUUGCAGCCAUUGUUGUCAUUUGAUUUGAAAAGCAAAUGGAUAUUUUUUUAUGUUUGACUUUAUUCAUUAAAGGCAUUCAUAUCAAU